rnacentral:rRNA from 1 species
AGCGUACACGGUGGAUGCCCUGGCAGUCAGAGGCGAUGAAGGGCGUGCUAAUCUGCGAUAAGCGCCGGUAAGGUGAUAUGAACCGUUAUAACCGGCGAUACCCGAAUGGGGAAACCCAGUGUGAUUCGUCACACUAUCAUUAACUGAAUCCAUAGGUUAAUGAGGCGAACCGGGGGAACUGAAACAUCUAAGUACCCCGAGGAAAAGAAAUCAACCGAGAUUCCCCCAGUAGCGGCGAGCGAACGGGGAGGAGCCCAGAGCCUGAAUCAGCAUGUGUGUUAGUGGAAGCGUCUGGAAAGGCGCGCGAUACAGGGUGACAGCCCCGUACACAAAAGCGCAUGUGCUGUGAGCUCGAUGAGUAGGGCGGGACACGUGGUAUCCUGUCUGAAUAUGGGGGGACCAUCCUCCAAGGCUAAAUACUCCUGACUGACCGAUAGUGAACCAGUACCGUGAGGGAAAGGCGAAAAGAACCCCGGCGAGGGGAGUGAAAAAGAACCUGAAACCGUGUACGUACAAGCAGUGGGAGCACAGGUUUACCUGUGUGACUGCGUACCUUUUGUAUAAUGGGUCAGCGACUUAUAUUCUGUAGCAAGGUUAACCGUAUAGGGGAGCCGGAGGGAAACCGAGUCUUAACCGGGCGUUAAGUUGCAGGGUAUAGACCCGAAACCCGGUGAUCUAGCCAUGGGCAGGUUGAAGGUUGGGUAACACUAACUGGAGGACCGAACCGACUAAUGUUGAAAAAUUAGCGGAUGACCUGUGGCUGGGGGUGAAAGGCCAAUCAAACCGGGAGAUAGCUGGUUCUCCCCGAAAGCUAUUUAGGUAGCGCCUCGUGAAUUCAUCUCCGGGGGUAGAGCACUGUUUCGGCUAGGGGGCCAUCCCGGCUUACCAACCCGAUGCAAACUGCGAAUACCGGAGAAUGUUAUCACGGGAGACACACGGCGGGUGCUAACGUCCGUCGUGAAGAGGGAAACAACCCAGACCGCCAGCUAAGGUCCCAAAGUCAUGGUUAAGUGGGAAACGAUGUGGGAAGGCCCAGACAGCCAGGAUGUUGGCUUAGAAGCAGCCAUCAUUUAAAGAAAGCGUAAUAGCUCACUGGUCGAGUCGGCCUGCGCGGAAGAUGUAACGGGGCUAAACCAUGCACCGAAGCUGCGGCAGCGACACUAUGUGUUGUUGGGUAGGGGAGCGUUCUGUAAGCCUGUGAAGGUGUGUCGUGAGGCAUGCUGGAGGUAUCAGAAGUGCGAAUGCUGACAUAAGUAACGAUAAAGCGGGUGAAAAGCCCGCUCGCCGGAAGACCAAGGGUUCCUGUCCAACGUUAAUCGGGGCAGGGUGAGUCGACCCCUAAGGCGAGGCCGAAAGGCGUAGUCGAUGGGAAACGGGUUAAUAUUCCCGUACUUGGUGUUACUGCGAAGGGGGGACGGAGAAGGCUAUGUUGGCCGGGCGACGGUUGUCCCGGUUUAAGCGUGUAGGUGUGUGUUCCAGGUAAAUCCGGUUCACUUUAACACUGAGGCGUGAUGACGAGGCACUACGGUGCUGAAGCAACAAAUGCCCUGCUUCCAGGAAAAGCCUCUAAGCAUCAGGUAACAUCAAAUCGUACCCCAAACCGACACAGGUGGUCAGGUAGAGAAUACCAAGGCGCUUGAGAGAACUCGGGUGAAGGAACUAGGCAAAAUGGUGCCGUAACUUCGGGAGAAGGCACGCUGACACGUAGGUGAAGUGAUUUACUCAUGGAGCUGAAGUCAGUCGAAGAUACCAGCUGGCUGCAACUGUUUAUUAAAAACACAGCACUGUGCAAACACGAAAGUGGACGUAUACGGUGUGACGCCUGCCCGGUGCCGGAAGGUUAAUUGAUGGGGUCAGCGCAAGCGAAGCUCCUGAUCGAAGCCCCGGUAAACGGCGGCCGUAACUAUAACGGUCCUAAGGUAGCGAAAUUCCUUGUCGGGUAAGUUCCGACCUGCACGAAUGGCGUAAUGAUGGCCAGGCUGUCUCCACCCGAGACUCAGUGAAAUUGAACUCGCUGUGAAGAUGCAGUGUACCCGCGGCAAGACGGAAAGACCCCGUGAACCUUUACUAUAGCUUGACACUGAACAUUGAGCCUUGAUGUGUAGGAUAGGUGGGAGGCUUUGAAGCGUGGACGCCAGUCUGCGUGGAGCCGACCUUGAAAUACCACCCUUUAAUGUUUGAUGUUCUAACGUGGACCCGUAAUCCGGGUUGCGGACAGUGUCUGGUGGGUAGUUUGACUGGGGCGGUCUCCUCCUAAAGAGUAACGGAGGAGCACGAAGGUUGGCUAAUCCUGGUCGGACAUCAGGAGGUUAGUGCAAUGGCAUAAGCCAGCUUGACUGCGAGCGUGACGGCGCGAGCAGGUGCGAAAGCAGGUCAUAGUGAUCCGGUGGUUCUGAAUGGAAGGGCCAUCGCUCAACGGAUAAAAGGUACUCCGGGGAUAACAGGCUGAUACCGCCCAAGAGUUCAUAUCGACGGCGGUGUUUGGCACCUCGAUGUCGGCUCAUCACAUCCUGGGGCUGAAGUAGGUCCCAAGGGUAUGGCUGUUCGCCAUUUAAAGUGGUACGCGAGCUGGGUUUAGAACGUCGUGAGACAGUUCGGUCCCUAUCUGCCGUGGGCGCUGGAGAACUGAGGGGGGCUGCUCCUAGUACGAGAGGACCGGAGUGGACGCAUCACUGGUGUUCGGGUUGUCAUGCCAAUGGCACUGCCCGGUAGCUAAAUGCGGAAGAGAUAAGUGCUGAAAGCAUCUAAGCACGAAACUUGCCCCGAGAUGAGUUCU